AAAAUUUGCAAUCACAAUUAAAGGUUAUAGCAUUGCUUGUGGAUUUAGAGUUAGCAAAAGGGGAUGAAUUUAAAGAACUUGCUAUUGAUAUUCUGAAAAAUAAAGUUAAAAGUGCUGGAAAAAAACUUUUAUUAGAAGCUUAUUGCGAAUUGGAUAUUUUAUCUUACAAUGAGUUAAUCCAAGCACCUUUUACUGAAUCAUUUUCUGCUACUAUUGAAGAAAUG
rnacentral:lncRNA from 1 species